GAUGAACGCUGGCGGCGUGCCUAAUACAUGCAAGUCGAGCGAACGGACGAGAAGCUUGCUUUUCUGAUGUUAGCGGCGGACGGGUGAGUAACACGUGGAUAACCUACCUAUAAGGCUGGGAUAACGUCGGGAAACCGGAGCUCAUACCGGAUAAUAUGUUGAACCGCAUGGUUCAAAAGUGAAAGACGGUCUUGCUGUCACUUAUAGAGGGAUCCGCGCUGCAUUAGCUAGUUGGUAAGGUAACGGCCUACCAAGGCAACGAUGCGUAGCCGACCUGAGAGGGUGAUCGGCCACACUGGAACUGAGACACGGUCCAGACUCCUACGGGAGGCAGCAGUAGGGAAUCUUCCGCAAUGGGCGAAAGCCUGACGGAGCAACGCCGCGUGAGUGAUGAAGGUCUUCGGAUCGUAAAGCUCUGUUAUUAGGGAAGAACAUAUGUGUAAUUAACUCUGCAUAUCUUGACGGUACCUACUCAGAAAGCCCCGGCUAACUACGUG
rnacentral:rRNA from 1 species